CUCACCUCAGCUAUAAAAUAAUUUAAUUUUUGUCCAUUUGCCCAUUUCAAAAUUUGAACACGUUCAAUGUAAAUUGGCUGCUUCCAUUAAAUCAAUUUUCUUAAACAUAACAACUACGAAUAAUAAAAACACGAAGGCGGCUAAAUCAAUCAGACAAUCACAGACGAGAUUUGAUGCAUAGAAACGAUUUUGCUUCUUAGUUCCAUAUGUUUCGCGUCUGUGAAUGAAAUUUUUUUGUGGGUCUCGCAUGUAGAAAAGAAAAAUCUCAAACCAGAGAAGAAAAAAUUUCAAUAAAUAAAUUUUGACAUGAGUCAAGCUACGAAUUUGUUUACUAAAACCUUGGUCUUACUUCUCGGUUUCAUUUUUUUUAGUUAAUUUGGUUAAUAAAUAAAAACGGAGUGUCAAAACAAUACCUACUUUAAUAAAUUUACAAACUUUUGAGUAUGACGAAGUCGAAGGAAAAAAAUUCAAAAACAAUGACCACAUCCAUUAAUCAACCCUCGACCCCGUCUGUUCAAAUUGGAUUUAUAUCUCCAGCGCCUCUAAAAACGAGCAAGAUAAUGGAUUUGAAUGAUGCAUCUAUAGAUCUUGAACUUCUAAUGAGAAAUAUGUGUCUUAUCAUUGAUGAAAUUGAUGAACGAUUUGUGCAGAAAGUGCGUAUUUUGAUUAAAACUAUCAGAGCAACUGAUGAUGACACUGUGCGUCAUUUUUCAACUUCAAAUUUCUGACAGAAACGAGACCAGUCGGUUUUACAUAAUUCGGAGGCGCUGAUUUCAAUGGUAUCAUUCGUUUUCCCCCAUCACGUCAGGAUUUUCCACAAUUUUCCUCGGAAGUUUCCCGGAACACCCAAAUUGGCUGUUUAUACUCUAGUAACAUUUUGAAUUCAUGCAAUAUCCCAGAGGGAUGACCGUUGUAGUACGGUUCAAGUAUAGUUAAGCCACACAAUUCGUUUUAGAAAAAAUUGAGUCAUUUGAAAAAAAUUGAUUUGGUUAUUCCCCUCUGAAGUUCACAUUUUGAAGUAAAAUUGGUAUCCAUUCAAACGCUCUGAAAAUGAGUAUUUGGGGGUUUUUUGGCAUGAAAAGACUGUAUAUGACGCUUUUUCUGCUAUAAAAUUAGAUUGGAAUACACUUACCACAAUUUGACAUUUUUGGUCAUUUUUGACUAUUUUGGGUACUUUUUGUAUGGUAAGUGUAUUCAACCCCAAUUUCAUGCCAAAAAAGCCCCCAAGUACUCAUUUUCAUACCAAUUUUACUUCAAAAUGUGGACUUCAGAGGAGAAUAACCAAAUCAUUUUUUUUCAAAUGACUCAAUUUUUUCUAAAACGAAUUGUCUGGCAUGACUUUACUUGAACGGUUCUACAACGCCUGAUAGGUCACCCCUCUGGGAUAUUGCAUGAAUUCAAAAUGUUACUAGAGUAUAAACAGCCAAUUUGGGUUUUCUGGGAAACUUCCGAGGAAAAUUGUGGAAAAACCUGACGUGAUGGGGGAAAACGAAUGAUGCCAUUGAAAUCAGCGCCCUCAAAUUAUGUAAAACCGACUGGUCUCGUUUCUGUCAGAUUUUGAGUGACACACAGUGUGAUUUAUCCAAGCUUAUUGAAGAAUUUGAAUCGCGUGAUACAACUGCGAAAAAUGCACCAAAGAAAAAGCAUUCUCCAGAAGUCAAGGGUUCGAAGAAUAAUCUAUCUGAUUCAAAUUCAACUUCCGAAUCGACUUUGGGUGCAGAUUCCCAUAAGCCAAAGAAACCCAAGCGCGAAUCAAAAUUCAAUACACAAGUAUCGAAAUUCAAUGAAGCACUUUCAGCGUUGAAAAAGGAAGCGGCUAAAGAGAUGCUUGAUUCCAAAGGUGAUGAUUUGAUUAUAUAUUUUAAGGAGCUUAAAAAAAUACGAAAAGAUGUCCUUACUCGUUUAAAGAAAGAAUGUGAUGCUAUGUCUACUUUUAUUAAAUGGCAUAAUGAGGCGAAAGAUAAACAAAUUGUAUCUGAUUUGGAUACGUUAGUUGAUGGAGUAGCUGCAACAAUAUCGAAGUGAAACGUUGUUUUCACGCCUCGUUUUUCAAAUAAGAUCGUAAUUAGAUCUGCAUUUUCCAUUUGCCUAAAAUGUGAUAUUACAUUCUUUUUUUUGUUAUGAAAUCGACUGAAAUAAAAACUGCUUUUUCGACAUCAAAUAAAAUCUAGUACCAAAUAUUAACGAAAAUUUUAUACUCGAGACUCUUGCACAAUGAACUUAUUGUUCGAAAUUAGUUUAAUGUACAUAAUCCACGGAUAAAUAAAUAAAUAAAUAAA